CUGUCUCACUGCUUCCUUGGAGGCGUGCUAGCGCAGGAUGGUUUAUUCAUUAUAAGAAAAAUAGUGAUGAGUUUCUUCAUAGAAGUCCUCAUUCUUACAAACAGCGAAGAAUAACUUCAGGCCAAAUGCUGUAUGCAGUUUGGAGCCUACAAUUUUAUUGCAAGCAUUAUAUAUAGAGAUCGUCACGCUGCAUCACUUACACAGUUGUAUCAUAGUAUUUUGACUUCAUUUUUUCUCAUUUUGUCAAUUGCAACAUGAAUUUGGUCAGACGUCUGAGAUUGCUUUUUCCCUGUUAAGGCCAGCCCGGCACACUCGUGCAGAUUUUCCUGAUUCCUGUACAUUAGGGUCACGUGUCGCCGUUUUGAGCUCAUGAGUUCAUUCACAGAGCCCGGUAUCGAGAACGCAGAGAUAAAAGCACAGCUGUCGACACAAAGCCCUCUGGGAAGGGUGCGUCUGGUUGGUGUUGCUAUCCACAUGGGUUUUCAGCAAGAACUGCUUUCAUGGGCAAUGUCUCCCUAUAUGCUCCCAUUUCUACAGGCAAGGUUGGAGAUCUUCUCCAAGGUAAAUCUUUGGACUAAUCUCUUAAGUAGAUCUCAGAGCAUCCGAAAGCGUUUGGACAGAGGCUUCCUCAAGGGAUUUGAAUUGUACCCAGGUCAACAGGUGCAUGUCAGGAGGGAUUGCAUGCUGAUCGUUUAGCUAUUGUGCCUUACA